rnacentral:rRNA from 1 species
UCCAGACUCCUACGGGAGGCAGCAGUGGGGGAUAUUGGACAAUGGGGGGAACCCUGAUCCAGCGACGCCGCGUGAGUGAAGAAGUAUCUCGGUAUGUAAAGCUCUCUCAGCAGGGAAGAAAGAAAUGACGGUACCUGAGUAAGAAGCCCCGGCUAACUACGUGCCAGCAGCCGCGGUAAUACGUAGGGAGCAAGCGUUGUCCGGAAUUACUGGGCGUAAAGGGCGCGUAGGUGGGCGCUUAAGUCAGGUGUGAAAACUCCGGGCUCAACCUGGAGACUGCACUUGAAACUGGGUGUCUUGAGGGCAGGAGAGGAAAGUGGAAUUCCUAGUGUAGCGGUGAAAUGCGUAGAUAUUAGGAGGAACACCAGUGGCGAAGGCGACUUUCUGGACUGUACCUGACGCUGAGGCGCGAAAGCGUGGGUAGCGAACGGGAUUAGAUACCCCCGUAG